CCUACGGGAGGCAGCAGUGAGGAAUAUUGGUCAAUGGACGAGAGUCUGAACCAGCCAAGUAGCGUGAAGGAUGACUGCCCUAUGGGUUGUAAACUUCUUUUAUAUGGGAAUAAAAUGUUCCACGUGUGGGAUUUUGUAUGUACCAUAUGAAUAAGGAUCGGCUAACUCCGUGCCAGCAGCCGCGGUAAUACGGAGGAUCCGAGCGUUAUCCGGAUUUAUUGGGGUUAAAGGGGGCGUAGGUGGAUUGUUAAGUCAGUUGUGAAAGUUUGGGGCUCAACCGUAAAAUUGCAGUUGAAACUGGAAGUCUUGAGUACAGUAGAGGUGGGCGGAAUUCGUGGUGUAGCGGUGAAAUGCUUAGAUAUCACGAAGAACUCCGAUUGCGAAGGCAGCUCACUGGCCUGCAACUGACACUGAGGCUCGAAAGUGUGGGUAUCAAACAGGAUUAGAUACCCGUGUAGUC
rnacentral:rRNA from 1 species